AUUGAACGCUGGCGGCAGGCCUAACACAUGCAAGUCGAGCGAGCGGCGGACGGGUGAGUAAUGUCUGGGAACAUGCCUGAUGGAGGGGGAUCACUACUGGAAACGGUAGCUAAUACCGCAUAACAUCCGAUGUGCCCAGAUGGGAUUAGCUAGUAGGGGGGGUAAUGGCUCACCUAGGCGACGAUCCCUAGCUGGUCUGAGAGGAUGACCAGCCACACUGGAACUGAGACACGGUCCAGACUCCUACGGGAGGCAGCAGUGGGGAAGAUUGCACAAUGGGCGCAAGCCUGAUGCAGCCAUGCCGCGUGUAUGAAGAAGGCUUUCGGGUUGUAAAGUACUUUCAGCGAGGAGGCGUUACUCGCAGAAGAAGCACCGGCUAACUCCGUGCCAGCCGCCGCGGUAAUAC
rnacentral:rRNA from 1 species